GACGAACGCUGGCGGCGCGCCUAACACAUGCAAGUCGAACGGAGCGCAGCGAGCUGAUCCCUUCGGGGUGAAGCAUGCUGUUGCUUAGUGGCGAACGGGUGAGUAACACGUGAGCAACCUACCCUCGAGCGGGGGACAACAUUUGGAAACAGAUGCUAAUACCGCAUAAGACCACGGCCGGACAUCCGGCUGCGGCCAAAGCAUUUAUGCACUUGAGGAUGGGCUCGCGUCUGAUUAGCUAGUUGGUGAGGUAACGGCCCACCAAGGCAACGAUCAGUAGCCGGACUGAGAGGUUGAACGGCCACAUUGGGACUGAGACACGGCCCAGACUCCUACGGGAGGCAGCAGUGAGGAAUAUUGCACAAUGGGGGAAACCCUGAUGCAGCGACGCCGCGUGAGGGAAGAAGGUUUUCGGAUUGUAAACCUCUGUCUUCGGGGACGAUAAUGACGGUACCCGAGGAGGAAGCCACGGCUAACUACGUGCCAGCCGCCGCCGUAAAAC
rnacentral:rRNA from 1 species